rnacentral:lncRNA from 1 species
UUCUUGAAAAAUAAUGUAAUCGAUUUUGAAGGUUAUUCGGAACUAGCAUUUGCUAUAUGAAUUUUUUUUUCUUUUCAAAAAAUUGCCAAUUGUACACUCUAUUACUAUGGUGUAUAUUAUACAUUCCACCCUUAGAUGUCGGGUUUAGCGAGAAUUGGUGAAAUAGUUAUAAUCGGAUAAUAGAAAAGUGAAUAAUAAACACUAUUUAUAUACUAUUAAUGGUACCAUUAUUCAACUCUCUCUCUCUCUCUCUCUCCCUCUCUCUCUAUAUAUAAUGAAUAUUUAUUGUUAAAAUUAUCAAUUUUUACGCCUAUUGAUCAUAAAGUAUAUGAUGUCAAAAAUCAUAAAAUUUCGUUUAUACAACGUUUAAAUACUCUAAAUAUAUUUAACAAUAUAGAUAAUUGACUGUCAACGAAAAUAACUUAUGAGUAUAGAGACGAUCGUACUAAUAAUAAUAUAGUAGCCGGAU